rnacentral:lncRNA from 1 species
CAAAUUAUAUUUUUUUUCUUUCAUUAAUUCCUUGCCAGAUGAAAUAAUUUUGCUUUUAAACUCAGAGGAUGAUCUAAAAGAUAUAACCAACACAGGGUUUCGAGAUAAAGUUGAAGACUUCAAAAUUAAUAAUAUCAACAUUCCCUUUAUAGCAAUAGCUUUACAUGUAUUGUUUGUUUAUUAAAAGCCAGCGUCAAAUGAAUAUUCAGGUAAAAAAGAAGAUGUGGUGUUAUUGCCAAUGAGACAACUGUCAACAAGAGA